UACGAGGGGGGCAAAUGUUGUUCGGAAUCACUGGGCGUAAAGGGAGCGUAGGCGGGCUUUUAAGUUAGGUGUUUAAUUCCGGGGCCCAACCCCGGGCAUGCACCUAAAACUGGAAGUCUUGAAUAGUGGAGAGGUCAGUGGAAUUGGGGGUGUAGCGGUGGAAUGCGUAGAGAUCCCCAAGAACACCAGUUGCGAAGGCGGCUGACUGGACACAUAUUGACGCUGAGGCUCGAAAGCAUGGGGAGCAAACAGG
rnacentral:rRNA from 1 species